CACCGCGGUUAUACGAGAGGCUCAAGUUGAUAGCCACCGGCGUAAAGAGUGGUUAAGAGAACCCAUACUAAAGCCGAACAUUUUCAAGGCUGUUAUACGCACCCGAAAAUAUGAAGCACCCCCACGAAAGUGGCUUUAACCCUUCUGAACCCACGAAAGCUAGGACA
rnacentral:rRNA from 2 species